GACGAACGCUGGCGGCGUGCUUAACACAUGCAAGUCGAACGAAAGGCCCUGCUUUUGUGGGGUGCCCGAGUGGCGAACGGGGGAGUAACACGUGAGUAACCUGCCCUUGACUUUGGGAUAACUUCAGGAAACUGGGGCUAAUACCGGAUAGGAGCUCCUGCUGCAUGGGGGGGGUUGGAAAGUUUCGGCGGUUGGGGAUGGACUCGCGGCUUAUCAGCUUGUUGGUGGGGUAGUGGCUUACCAAGGCUUUGACGGGUAGCCGGCCUGAGAGGGUGACCGGCCACAUUGGGACUGAGAUACGGCCCAGACUCCUACGGGAGGCAGCAGUGGGGAAUAUUGCACAAUGGGCGGGAGCCUGAUGCAGCAACGCCGCGUGCGGGAUGACGGCCUUCGGGUUGUAAACCGCUUUCGCCUGUGACGAAGCGUGAGUGACGGUAAUGGGUAAAGAAGCACCGGCUAACUACGU
rnacentral:rRNA from 1 species